UGUGUAGGCGGGAUGGAAGGUACUGUGUGAAAUCCCCCGGCUCAACCGGGGAACUGCAUGGUAUACCACCAUUCUUGAGGCCAGCAGGGGUGCCUGGAACUUUGGGUGGAGCGGUGAAAUGCGUAGAUAUCCAAGGGAACGCCGGUGGCGAAAGCGGGGCACUGGGCUGGUUCUGACGCUGAGACACGAAAGCGUGGGGAGCAAACA
rnacentral:rRNA from 1 species